rnacentral:lncRNA from 1 species
AACAAGAAACGUGAACAGAUAUGAUGAUGAAUCCUAAAUUUGAAUAUUUUCAGUGUCCUACAGAAAAAGAGGUAGUUGGCAUAAGCUAACCAAGAACUACAAAACUUAAAGCUAAAUCAUUACACUAUAAAUGUUUUAAUUGAUCUCAAGUAUAAGAGACAUGCUGGUUAAGGCAGUGUAGAUCUUGUCACCAUGGAGCAAAAGAAACUUGAGCAACUAUCCAAGUGAAUAAGCGAAUAUUUUCAGUGUCCUACAGAAAAAGAGGUAGUCGGCAUAAGCUAACCAAGAACUACAAAACUUAAACCUAAAUCAUUACACUAUAAAUGUUUUAAUCGAUCUCAAGUAUAAGAGACAUGCUGGCUAAGGCAGUGUAGAUCUUGUCACCAUGGAGCAAAAGAA